GAGGAUAUAGCUCAGCUGUAGGGUGUGUGCUUAGCAUGCAUGAGCUCCUGGGUUCAAUCCCCAGUACCCCA
rnacentral:tRNA from 1 species